rnacentral:lncRNA from 1 species
AGUCAAGUGCUUGCCUGGCGAGAGAAAGCAGGAGUGUAGCUCUGCAUGCUUGGCAAAUGUGAUGCGAAAAUCCUGCGAGAGCCCACAAAUGCCACACGUGCCACUCCACUCAACGUCAUCUUCGUCCUUUGUUUGGUGUACUACUCUUUUAUUACUGUUUCGCGUGAUGACAACUGAACUGAAAUGAAAGAUUCGAUUUGGGAUCUUUGAUCCCAAAAGUUGCAGGAUUUUUGUUUGUAAAUACGACCCGCAUUCAGCAAGUUCACUAUU